AGGUCGGUUGUGUUUACAUCGUGUGGAUUCCAAUGUUCUUCAAGAGCAGCGGGCGCGAGCCGAUCCACCUGCCGAUCAAAUUGCCGUCGAAUAGAGAAGAAUAUAGAAGAAAAAAGAGAUAAGAGAUUCGGGAAAUGUAGAUUGAGCACAGCCUAAAACCCUGUAAGGUAAGAGAGAGCGAAAGGGAAGGACUAAAACGAAAUAAUUGCCAAGAAACCGUCACAGAGCGUGGAUAUUAUUCCGGAAAACGCAAACAAAAGUGCAGUGAAUAGUGAACCUAUGGACGAUAUAAUCAGGCCUGACCCAGGUGAGAGCCCUGGCGCACCCAAACCAUGAAGCCCUGAAUAACAGAAGUCGUGGGAAUAGCGACAGUGAUAGUGAAGCCUGAAAGAACCUUUACUGCAGUUCCUGUGAAUGACAGCGUUGAAGCCAACACGCGAGGAAGUUCUCAUGAAAAAGGCAACUUCCUGAGAGGAGAGUUGAUGGUGGGACACAGCCCAACACCCCCCUAGGAAACUUUGUCUUCACCUCGGUAUACCCAGCAAUAUAGAGAUGAAAGUCAUUAGCACCAAGUGGACUUAGGCCGUGCAGAUCAACCACCCAUAAAGAAGAUAAUCCCAUAAGGCUCAAGAAAAAACUGAUUAUUUUAAAGCUUCCGAGAACUGCAGAAAAAUACCCAGUGCAUAUAGACUGAAGCAUAGUCUAAAACACCAUAAAAGAAGAUAGAAGAAGAACACGCACUCGUGGACGUAAAUUUCU